CACGUAAGUUGCGAGCGUUGUUCGGAAUUAUUGGGCGUAAAGGGCAUGUAGGCGGUCUUGCAAGUCUGGUGUGAAAUACCGUGGCUCAACCACGGCACUGCGUUGGAAACUGCAUGACUGGAGUCGCUGAGGGGCAGGCAGAAUUCCUGGUGUAGGGGUGAAAUCUGUAGAUAUCAGGAAGAAUACCAAUGGCGAAGGCAGCCUGCCAGCAGAUGACUGACGCUGAGGUGCGAAGGUGCGGGGAG
rnacentral:rRNA from 1 species